rnacentral:ncRNA from 1 species
CCUUGACAAUCGCAUAAUGCGGUUGACAUAACCCAGACAAGGAGACAAACAUG